AUGGCCGAUAAAGAUCAUUAUCUAGAAGACCUAUUCUGUGAGAAAAAGAUGGAGCUUUCAUUGUUGCAGGACAUAACAAAUAAUUUCUCCCAAGAAUCGGAGAUUGGUAGGGGUGGAUGUGGAAUUGUUUACAAGGGGGCACUUCGAGAUGGUUUUCUUGCUGUGAAGAAGUUGAAUUUUGUUGCAAAUAACAAAUCAUUUCUGGAUGAGGUUAAUUGUUUGAGAAGGAUUAAGCACAAGAAUAUAGUACGAUUCAUCGGCUAUGGUUUUCAAACAAACAAAUACAUUACAGUGGUAGGUGGGGACCUUGUCUUGGCAGAAUCAUCAGAGCGAUUGAUUUGCUUCGAGUAUCUUCGCAAUGGAAGCCUUGAGAGUUUUCUAAAAGAUGACCAACCUUAUAAACGUACGUGGCCCGAGUGUUACAAAAUAAUCCACGGAAUUUGUCUUGGUUUGCACCAUCUUCAUGAGCGCUGUAUGAUUCAUAGAGAUAUCAAACCUGGCAAUAUACUACUUGAUGAUGACAUGACUCCGAAAAUUGCGGACUUUGGUCUGUCGCGGCUCUUGGUGGAUGGAGAAAGCGGAAAGGUCACAAACUACCACUAUCUAAAAGGAACACUGGGAUACAUGGCACCAGAAUUCCUCCAUGAUGGAAAAUACAGUGUCAAGUCGGACAUAUUCGGUUUGGGUCGCAUAAUCGAAAAAAUGGUGAUAGGAUGUCAUACGACCUCAAUGGAGGAGACUGCCGUGCUCGUGUGGGGUCCUCGGCUGGAUCAUCUGGAUGCGUCUGAGAAGAGCACGGCAUUGGAGCAAGUGAAGGAAUGCAUCAAAAUAUCAGCAGACUGCACACAACAUGAAGCAGCGAGCAGACCUGCCACACAGUACAUCCUCGCUAGGCUUACGACUCCGGGAAAUUCGCACUGUUCUGCCGCAGGUGGCAUAAACACAUCCACAGUGCCAGCACAAAUGACUCCGGCGCGGGUAGACACAACGACCGGCGUAACCAGCUACAGGAUGCUUUCAGCAAGAGAAUUACAGAUUGCAAACAACAGGCCCGGGCACUGGAGUUGGAGUUCCCACCCACUCCCAUAUUCCAGCAGGAAUGAAGAAUUUGCGGAGCUGAUAAGUGUCUACUGCCUCGCGGUCACCGGAGAGGUCCAGCCAAAGGACCUCUCCGCCGGCAGAAGCUACACGGUUUACCUCGUGUACAAGCUGGCGAUCAUCAACGCUGGACUGGAUGCGGAAGGAUCGGUGCAGACGUCGUCACUCAGGCUCUACGGCAACAGGGUCUACCCCAUGGGCAAGGUUAGCCUCCACCCCGAAGCGCCCAGAACGGCCGACCACGUCAACCACCCUGUCUCGAGGGGCGAUGGCUGGUUGGAGCUUAGGCUGGCAGACUUCGCAAACGAUGGCGAGAUGCUGACAGAACAGGGGGUCAUCGUGGAUCUCCGCGAGGAGAACCUCAGCGUCGAGAAGCGCGGGAUCAUCGUGAAGGGCAUGGAGUUCAGGAGCAACUAG
rnacentral:rRNA from 1 species